AGGUAAUCUACCCUUGUGUACGGGACAACAUCGGGAAACUGGUGCUAAUACCGUAUACGUUUCUCUUAUAGCGAUAUAUAGGAAAGAAAGGUGGCCUCUUCAUGAAAGCUACUGCACAAGGAUGAGCCUGCGUACCAUUAGCUAGUAGGUGGGGUAACGGCCCACCUAGGCGACGAUGGUUAGCGGGUCUGAGAGGAUGAUCCGCCACACUGGCACUGGAACACGGGCCAG
rnacentral:rRNA from 1 species